AAUUGCUGGGUCACAUGACAACUCCAUGUUUAACUUUUUGAGAAAUUGUCAAGCUGUUUUCCAAAGUGGCUGUACCAUUUUCCAUUCCCACCAGCAAU
rnacentral:pre_miRNA from 1 species